ACUUAAUUUAAUUAAGAAUUAACUUUUAUUUAAAAUAAAGCAUACAACUUUUAAAAAUAAUUAAUUAUUUAUAUUUUUAAAAAAUUUUUUUUAAAAAAAAUUUUUCUAACCAAUGGAAGUUUAAUUUUAAAAUUUUAAUAAAUUUUAUAUAAUUUUAAUAAAAGUAUUGAAAAAGACUUUUUUUUUAAAAAAAAAGUAAAAUUAAAUUUUUAUACCUUUUGUAUCAGGGUAAAUUUAAAAAUAAUUAAUAACUUUAACUAUCUCGAAAAUAAAAUAACUAACUAAUUAUAAUAAUUAAUGUUUAAUUAUUAUUAUAAAUAAUUAGUUAGAAAUGAAAUUUUAGUCAAUUUUAUUGAUAUCUAGUUUUUUAAGAAAUAGAUUGAAUCUAUAUAUUUAAUAAAAUAUUUACUUUUUAAAUAAGAAAAUAUUUAUUUUAAUAUAAAUAAAAUUAGAGAUAAAUUUAAUUUUAUAUAUAAUUAUAUUUUAAUUUUAAACUCUAAAAAUAUAGAAUUAAUAAUUUUCAUUAUUUAAAAAAAAUUUAAUAAUUUAUUUAAAUUUAAAAUUUUAUUUUCAUUUUAAUUAAAUUUUUUAUUAAAAUAAACUAAUUAAUAAUUUUUCUACUUAAAUUAAUAAUCUAAUUAGUAUAAAUUAAUUUAUAAAUACAUAAAUAUAAAUUUAAGGAACUCGACAAAUAAUAUUUUUCACCUGUUUAACAAAAACAUGGUUUUUUGUAAUUAAUUUAAAAUCCAAUCCUGCUCAAUGAAUUUAUUUUUAAAUAGCUGCAGUAUUUUAACUGUACAAAGGUAGCAUAAUAAAUUGUCCUAUAAUUAAGGAAUUGAAUGAAUGAUUUAAUGAAAAAAUAAUUGUCUCAAUUUUAUUAUUAAAACUUAAUUUUUAAGUUAAAAAGCUUAAAUUAGAUUAAAAGACGAGAAGACCCUAUAGAAUUUUAUAAUUUUAUCAAAAUUUCAUUUUAAUUUUUUAAAUAAUGAAUUUAUAUAUAAAAUUAUUUAAUUGGGAGGAUUCUUAAAUUUAAUAAACUUUAAUUUUUACUAAAAAUAAAUUUAUUAAAAUAAAAUGAUCCAAUUUUAUUGAUUUUUAAAAAAAAUUACCUUAGGGAUAACAGCAUAAUUUUUUUAAAGAGUUCUUAUUAAUAAAAAAGUUUAUGACCUCGAUGUUGAAUUAAGAUAAAAAAUAAAAGAAAAAAUUUAUUAAUUAAGUCUGUUCGACUUUUAAAAUCUUACAUGAUUUGAGUUCAGACCGGCGUGAGCCAGGUCAGAUUCUAUCUUUAAUUAAUUAUAUAAUUUUAUUGUACGAAAGGACUUAAAAUAUAAAUUAUAAUUUUAAAAUAAAUUAAUAAAAAUAAUUUAAG
rnacentral:rRNA from 1 species